rnacentral:rRNA from 1 species
AUUGAACGCUGGUGGCAGGCUUAACACAUGCAAGUCGAGCGGGGGAGGUUGCUUCGGUAACUGACCUAGCGGCGGACGGGUGAGUAAUGCUUAGGAAUCUGCCUAUUAGUGGGGGACAACAUUCCGAAAGGGAUGCUAAUACCGCAUACGCCCUACGGGGGAAAGCAGGGGAUCUUCGGACCUUGCGCUAAUAGAUGAGCCUAAGUCGGAUUAGCUAGUUGGUGGGGUAAAGGCCUACCAAGGCGACGAUCUGUAGCGGGUCUGAGAGGAUGAUCCGCCACACUGGGACUGAGACACGGCCCAGACUCCUACGGGAGGCAGCAGUGGGGAAUAUUGGACAAUGGGCGCAAGCCUGAUCCAGCCAUGCCGCGUGUGUGAAGAAGGCCUUAUGGUUGUAAAGCACUUUAAGCGAGGAGGAGGCUACUUUAGAUAAUACCUAGAGAUAGUGGACGUUACUCGCAGAAUAAGCACCGGCUAACUCUGUGCCAGCCGCCGCAGUAACAC